rnacentral:rRNA from 1 species
AGACGGAGGGCGCGAGCGUUGUUCGGAAUUACUGGGCGUAAAGCGCGCGCAGGCGGAUGGGCAAGUCGGGAGUGAAAUCCUGGGGCUCAACCCUGGGACUGCUAUCGAUACUGCUCGUCUAGGGACCGGUAGAGGCCGGUGGAAUUCCCGGUGUAGCGGUGGAAUGCGUAGAUAUCGGGAAGAACACCUGUGGCGAAGGCGGCCGGCUGGGCCGGAUCCGACGCUGAGGCGCGAAAGCGUGGGGAGCAAACAGGAUUAGAUACCCUGGUAGUCCACGCCGUAAACGAUGGGUGCUAGAUGCCGGGGGGAGCGACCCCUUCGGUGUCGCAGCUAACGCGUUAAGCACCCCGCCUGGGGAGUACGGCCGCAAGGCUGAA